CACCACCGCGCUCCGAUGACAGGCCCGGCUUGUUAGCGUGAAGAAGCAGCUUCACACACACACGCGCGCACGCACGCACACACGCACACACACACGUGCGUUAUUGUCUUUCUGGGUUUGUACUUAGCCUGACUGUGAGGGGCCACUUGGGGAACAUGGAUCUAUUUAAACAUGUCUAUCUUUCAGUCGGGGCCUAAUAAGCUGCUAAAACCGCCAGCAGCCUGAAAUAAAUGUAGAUCUCCCCGAUGAGAGAGGAACAAAGACCUAGAGAUACAGAACUACACCGCCCGUAUGAGCUGGGGCUUCAGCUUUGCAUUAGCAUCAUUUGUAAAUCAUACUGUGCUUGCUCAUGUUAUCCAAAAGAGGUGACCAUAUUUGGUCAUGCAUUUUCUGUCCACUUUUGUUUGGAUGCGAUCAAUUCUCUGUUCAGUUCUGGGGCAUGAAGAAGGCACCGGGAAGCACUCCAAUCAUCUCUCAUCAUCUCUCAAGUGUCUUGUAACACAGCCACAAGGGCCGUAUGAUCAUCAGAGUAUUAUUUAACGUAUAACUGAAUGACAUUCAAUGAUUUAAAAAUAUUUAAUGCAACCAUGUUCUCUGUGUGUAUGUGUGUCUCGUCGACCUUUCAUUGUUGUUCAGGAGCAACAAUGAAAGGUUGUUUCAAAACAUUUGUCAUGCGUUAGCUCAGCUUCCAUCGGCUCUCAACACACGGGCGUCAGACAGCCUUCAGCGGCAUAAAUACAAACAGUCAGAGGUGAACGGGGCGUUAUUGAUCAGUCAAAGGUUGGACCUCAAACCGAUGGUUCUCAGUUGUCCAUUGUUGUUCCUGGUGUAGAUCACUCUUGGGCUGACUGGGUAUAGGCCAUGGUAGAAAAACAGAAUUUCCAGAUGAUGUGCAAAAUAAAGAAUCUUAAUUUAUUAAUGAGUCCGAUUCCAUUGCUCAUUCAAACAAAUAUUCAAUAUUCAAAGAUUAUUGUUGAAUAUGAAAGAUAUAAAGAUUGAUAAGACAGAUCAAGACAAUCAGGGUCUAAAGCCAAUGUUCUUUUACAGCCAAAACCAGUCCAAGGUCCAGGUCCUUUCCUUUUAAGGAGCACACAGCAUACACCAAUCGAUUGAUCAAUCAUCAAUUAACAAAACAAACUCAAGCACACGCACGCACACAAUGCUGAAAAGAA
ensembl:lncRNA